AAAUUAAUUUAUAAUUGUAAUUCACGUUAUGUUAUUUUUUUAUUUAAUAUUAAUAUGUAUUUUUUGGUUAAAUAUAAAUGUAUAAAUUAUAUUAAAUUUUAAAGAUCUUGUAAAAUUUUAAUUUAAACUAGGAUUAGAUACCCUAUUAUAAAUAUUAUAUUAUUUAUAAUUAAGAUAUUAAAUAUUAAUUUAUUAAAUUUAAAUAAUUUGACGGUAUUUUUUUAUUAAAGAAACUUAUUUAUUAAUAUGAUAAUUCACAAUAAAAUUUACUUAAUUUUUAUAUUUAUAUACUUCUGUAUAGAUUUAAUUUUAAAAUUAUUAUCUUAAUAUUUUAUUAAUAAUAAUUCAAGUCAAAGUAUAAUUUAUAAUUAAGAUUAAAUGAGUUGCUAUUUAUUUAUAAUUUAAUAAUAAUUUAAAAUUUUAUUAUUAAUAGAAUUUAAAAGUAAAUUUAAUAAUUAUUUAAAUUGAUUUAAAUAUAAAUAUGUACAUAUUGCCCGUCAUUUUCAAUAUAUUUGAAACAAGUCGUAACAAAGUAAAAUUACUGGAAAGUAAUUUUAGAAU
rnacentral:rRNA from 1 species